rnacentral:rRNA from 1 species
AUUGAACGCUGGCGGCAUGCCUUACACAUGCAAGUCGAACGGUAACAGGUCUUCGGAUGCUGACGAGUGGCGAACGGGUGAGUAAUACAUCGGAACGUGCCUAGUAGUGGGGGAUAACUACUCGAAAGAGUGGCUAAUACCGCAUGAGAUCUACGGAUGAAAGCAGGGGAUCGCAAGACCUUGUGCUACUAGAGCGGCCGAUGGCAGAUUAGGUAGUGGGUGGGAUAAAAGCUUACCAAGCCGAGGAUCUGUAGCUGGGCUGAGAGGACGAUUAGCCACAAUGGGACUGGGAAACGGCCCAGACUCCUACGGGAGGCAGCAGUGGGGAAUUUUGGACAAUGGGCGCAAGCCUGAUCCAGCAAUGCCGCGUGCAGGAUGAAGGCCUUCGGGUUGUAAACUGCUUUUGUACGGAACGAAAAGCCCCGGGUUAAUACCCUGGGGUCAUGACGGUACCGUAAGAAUAAGCACCGGCUAACUACGUGCCAGCCGCCGCCGUAA